rnacentral:rRNA from 1 species
GCAGCAGUGGGGAAUAUUGGACAAUGGGGGCAACCCUGAUCCAGCAAUGCCGCGUGUGUGAAGAAGGUCUUCGGAUUGUAAAGCACUUUCGACGGGGACGAUGAUGACGGUACCCGUAGAAGAAGCCCCGGCUAACUUCGUGCCAGCAGCCGCGGUAAUACGAAGGGGGCUAGCGUUGCUCGGAAUGACUGGGCGUAAAGGGCGCGUAGGCGGCGGCGUAAGUCAGAUGUGAAAUUCCUGGGCUUAACCUGGGGGCUGCAUUUGAGACUGCGUUGCUAGAGGAUGGAAGAGGCUCGUGGAAUUCCCAGUGUAGAGGUGAAAUUCGUAGAUAUUGGGAAGAACACCGGUGGCGAAGGCGGCGAGCUGGUCCAUUACUGACGCUGAGGCGCGAUAGCGUGGGGAGCAAA